UGGGGAAUAUUGGACAAUGGGCGAAAGCCUGAUCCAGUCAUGCCGCGUGUGUGAAGAAGGUCUUCGGAUUGUAAAGCACUUUAAGUUGGGAGGAAGGGCAGUAAGUUAAUACCUUGCUGUUUUGACGUUACCGACAGAAUAAGCACCGGCUAACUCUGUGCCAGCAGCCGCGGUAAUACAGAGGGUGCAAGCGUUAAUCGGAAUUACUGGGCGUAAAGCGCGUGUAGGUGGAUGAAUAAGUUGGAUGUGAAAGCCCCGGGCUCAACCUGGGAAUGCCAUUCAAAACUGUUCAUCUAGAGUGUGGAAGAGGGAAGCGGAAUUUCCGGUGUAGCGGUGAAAUGCGUAGAUAUCGGAAGGAACACCAGUGGCGAAGGCGGCUUCCUGGUCCAACACUGACGCUGAGGCGCGAAAGCGUGGGGAGCAAACAGGAUUAGAUACCCCAGUAGUCCCUGAGCGGGCUGGCAAGGCG
rnacentral:rRNA from 1 species